CUGAGAAGGGAGGGAACAAAUGCCCCAGGCGCUGGCCCUGGUUUCAUGGAAGAAGAGAGGGAUCAACCUCUUGAGCCCAUUGUGGACCAGGCCCCUGCCCUUCUGUUCUUUCUGCAGUGGGGAUCACUUCAGCGAGGGGCCAGUUUACUCAUUUCGUAGAUGAGGAAACUGCGGCACAGAGAGGGAUUUAGGCUCUUCCCAAAUGAAAGCAAAGACAGCCACCAGCUGCUCCCGGCUCACGUCAAACCAGUCAGCCACCCCAGUGGAAAAGAGCUUCUUUCCCUAACCAGUUCCUGCAAACAUCCUCACAGUGACCUCCCAUCUCGGAACUUGAUCUGACCUCCCUGAACUAAUACCUGGGACUCUGAUUGGUUAGGGCUAAGUGGGCCCCACUUGAAUCACGGAGAUUGAGAUGGUGCCUUGUGGAUCCCCAAAGGAAAACUGGGCUGCUGUUAUCAGAAGACAGGGGUGUGAUGCUGGGCAGGUAGAGACAACAGGUUGUAUCCUGCUAGCCUCUGGGAUAAAGUGCCUGUCCUGGCACAUAGUAAGUGCUCAAGGAGUAUUUCUAGUUGAAUGAACAUUCAGUGAAGGUUUUCCUGCAUCAUUCCAUCUUCUAAAUGUGGG